UACAGAGGGUGCAAGCGUUAAUCGGAAUUACUGGGCGUAAAGCGUGCGUAGACGGUUAUGUAAGUCAGAUGUGAAAGCCCCCCGGCUCAACUGGGGAGGGUCAUUCGAUACUGUUCGACUCGAAGGCAGGAGAGGGAAGUGGAAUUCCGGGUGUAGUGGUGAAAUGCGUAGAUAUCCGGAGGAACACCAGUGGCGAAGGCGACUUUCUGGCCUGUUCUUGACGCUGAGGCGCGAAAGCUAGGGGAGCAAACGGG
rnacentral:rRNA from 1 species